rnacentral:rRNA from 1 species
AAUAUCAAAGGUGAGCCAGUACAGGAUGGACCCGCGUCUGAUUAGCUAGUUGGUAAGGUAACGGCUUACCAAGGCGACGAUCAGUAGCCGACCUGAGAGGGUGAUCGGCCACAUUGGAACUGAGACACGGUCCAAACUCCUACGGGAGGCAGCAGUGGGGAAUAUUGCACAAUGGGCGAAAGCCUGAUGCAGCAACGCCGCGUGAGUGAUGAAGGCCUUCGGGUCGUAAAAC